AGUCGAACGGUAACGCGGGGCAACCUGGCGACGAGUGGCGAACGGGUGAGUAAUGUAUCGGAACGUGCCCAGUUGUGGGGGAUAACUGCUCGAAAGAGCAGCUAAUACCGCAUACGACCUGAGGGUGAAAGCGGGGGAUCGCAAGACCUCGCGCAAUUGGAGCGGCCGAUAUCAGAUUAGGUAGUUGGUGGGGUAAAGGCUCACCAAGCCAACGAUCUGUAGCUGGUCUGAGAGGACGACCAGCCACACUGGGACUGAGACACGGCCCAGACUCCUACGGGAGGCAGCAGUGGGGAAUUUUGGACAAUGGGCGCAAGCCUGAUCCAGCCAUGCCGCGUGCGGGAAGAAGGCCUUCGGGUUGUAAACCGCUUUUGUCAGGGAAGAAAAGACUCCUGUUAAUACCGGGGGUUCAUGACGGUACCUGAAGAAUAAGCACCGGCUAACUACGUGCCAGCAGCCGCGGUAAUACGUAGGGUGCAAGCGUUAAUCGGAAUUACUGGGCGUAAAGCGUGCGCAGGCGGUUAUGCAAGACAGAUGUGAAAUCCCCGGGCUCAACCUGGGAACUGCAUUUGUGACUGCAUGGCUAGAGUACGGUAGAGGGGGAUGGAAUUCCGCGUGUAGCAGUGAAAUGCGUAGAUAUGCGGAGGAACACCGAUGGCGAAGGCAAUCCCCUGG
rnacentral:rRNA from 1 species